rnacentral:rRNA from 1 species
CAGCCGCCGCGGUAAUACGUAGGUGGCAAGCGUUGUCCGGAAUUAUUGGGCGUAAAGCGCGCGCAGGUGGUUUAAUAAGUCUGAUGUGAAAGCCCACGGCUCAACCGUGGAGGGUCAUUGGAAACUGUUAAACUUGAGUGCAGGAGAGAAAAGUGGAAUUCCUAGUGUAGCGGUGAAAUGCGUAGAGAUUAGGAGGAACACCAGUGGCGAAGGCGGCUUUUUGGCCUGUAACUGACACUGAGGCGCGAAAGCGUGGGGAGCAAACAGGAUUAGAUACCCCCGUAGUCCCUGUCUCUUAUAC